GGAUAGCCAUUGGAAGCGAUGAUUAAAACCUGAUAACACCAUUUGGUUACAUGAGCAGAUGGUCAAAGAUUUAUCGGCAGAGGAUGGGCCUGCGUCUGAUUAGCUAGUUGGUAAGGUAACGGCUUACCAAGGCGACGAUCAGUAGCCGACCUGAGAGGGUGAACGGCCACAUUGGAACUGAGACACGGUCCAAACUCCUACGGGAGGCAGCAGUGGGGAAUAUUGCACAAUGGGCGAAAGCCUGAUGCAGCAACGCCGCGUGAAGGAAGAAGGCCUUCGGGUCGUAAACUUCUGUCCUUGGGGAAGAAGAACUGACGGUACCCAAGGAGGAAGCCCCGGCUAACUACGUGCCAGCAGCCGCGGUAAUACGUAGGGGGCAAGCGUUAUCCGGAAUUAUUGGGCGUAAAGAGUACGUAGGUGGCAACCUAAGCGCAGGGUUUAAGGCAAUGGCUCAACCAUUGUUCGCCCUGCGAACUGGGAUGCUUGAGUGCAGGAGAGGAAAGCGGAAUUCCUAGUGUAGCGGUGAAAUGCGUAGAUAUUAGGAGGAACACCAGUGGCGAAGGCGGCUUUCUGGACUGUAACUGACACUGAGGUACGAAAGCGUGGGGAGCAAACAGGAUUAGAUACCCUGGUAGUCCACGCCGUAAACG
rnacentral:rRNA from 1 species